GCCGGACGCGGUGGCGCGCACCUGUAGUCCCAGCUACUUGGGAGGCUGAGGUGGGAGGAUCGCUUGAGUCCAGGAGUUCUGGGCUGCAGUGCGCUAUGCCGAUCGGGUGUCCGCACUAAGUUCAGCAUCAAUAUGGUGACCUCCUGGAAGUGGGGGACCACCAGGUUGCCUAAGGAGGAGUGAACCAGCCCAGGUCGGAAACGGAGCAGGUCAAAACUCCCGUGCUGAUCAGUAGUGGGAUCACGCCUGUGAAUAGCCACUGCACUCCAGCCUGGGCAAUAUAGUGAGACCCUGUCCCUA
rnacentral:SRP_RNA from 1 species